GGAAUUUGAAACGUACCAGCUCUAAUGUUUUCAGAACUUAAGCAGGGCUACGCUACUGUGUCGCAAACAUAUGCAACCACUAAGCAAAUCACUACAAGCAGCUGGUAUCGCUUGCCGAUGGGCAACACCUGGGACAUGGUGGGUGACGAAAGAGGGUCAACACUACAAGGCUACCGCCCAAUAGAAGGCCCAGCACUGAGACCCCCCCAACAUCACGAGGACUCUAUGCUACCACCUAAUCCUUAACCUCAGACCACAGGCACUACAGCGAG